GACGAACGCUGGCGGCGUGCUUAACACAUGCAAGUCGAACGACGUGGCGAACGGGUGAGUAACGCGUAAUCAACCUGCCCUUCGGAGGGGGACAACAGUUGGAAACGACUGCUAAUCCCGCAUACUGAAGGAGGGGUUUGCGGUGGAUUAGCUAGUUGGAGGGGUAACGGCCCACCAAGGCGAUGAUCAGUAGCCGGUCUGGAGGGAGGAACGGCCACAUUGGGACUGAGAAACGGCCCAGACUCCUACGGGAGGCAGCAGGGGGGAAACUUCCGCAAUGGACGAAAGUCUGACGGAGCAACGCCGCGUGAGUGAUGACGGCCUUCGGGUUGGAAAGCUCUGUUAAUCGGGACGCGGUACCGGAAUAGAAAGCCACGGCUAACUACGUGCCAGCAGCCGCGGUAAUAC
rnacentral:rRNA from 1 species